AUAAUAAUAAUUAUUAAUCAUUUAUCUGCUUACUGCUUAGUUCAUCGAUCCAAAACAAAGAUUGAUAGGAUGAUACAUGCUACCAAUUGGAAUUGGGGAUAAUGUUUAACCAAUUAUCAAUUUUUAUAUUUAUCAAAAAAAAAUAUCAACUUUCAAAUACGGUCUACAAAAAAAAUUCUAAUAUUUGUAUAUUAUUAAACAUAAAAUCACAUAAAUUAAAAUAAAGUAUAAUUGUUGUAUAAUAGUUAAUAUAAAUUUUUGUAGGCAUUUAUGAUCUAAUUUCAGGAAAAUGGGGCAU
rnacentral:lncRNA from 1 species